rnacentral:tRNA from 1 species
GGGGAUAGCUCAGUGGUAGAGUGGUUGCCUAGCAUGCACAAGGUCCUGGGUUCAAUCCCCUGUACCUCCG